AGUUUAUUAAUUUCCAUCUGGCCAUAGUUCAAAAAAAAAUCCAUCUGGCCAUAGAAGCAAAGCCCAGGAACCGAUCGCGCGGGAGGAGAUGGCCGACGGAGAGGACGCUGGCGCUGCCCGCCGACGCACCGCCGUCUCCGACUACCGGAAGAAGAUGCGCAACUUGAGGGACUCGCGCGUCGGAGCUGUGAACGAAAACUUAAAAAAUAAUCAGGAUUUUGCAAAGAUUGAAGAUUACUUGGAGCCACUCCAAACUGUUGGAGAGCUAACAUGAGAGGUUCUCGUCCUUUUGACAACGAACAUUUUAUUGUCGAGGCUAGCUGCGGCCCAAGAUACUGCCGGAGUAAAGUGGACAAGGAGAUACUAACUCCUGGAACUCCCGUCAGGCUGGACAUGAAAACUUUAACAAUCACGCAUACUCUGGAAAUGCCAGGCGAGG